GCCGGUUUGGCUCAGUGGAUAGAGCAUCGGCCUGCGGACUGAAAGGUCCCAGGUUCGAUUCCAGGCAACGGCA
rnacentral:tRNA from 1 species